rnacentral:rRNA from 1 species
GAUGAACGCUGGCGGCGUGCUUAACACAUGCAAGUCGAACGGAAAGGCUCCUGCUUGCAGGGGUGCUCGAGUGGCGAACGGGUGAGUAACACGUGGGUGAUCUGCCCUGCACUUCGGGAUAAGCCUGGGAAACUGGGUCUAAUACCGGAUAGGACGAUGUUUUGGAUGCCAUUGUGGAAAGUUUUUCGGUGUGGGAUGAGCUCGCGGCCUAUCAGCUUGUUGGUGGGGUAAUGGCCUACCAAGGCGUCGACGGGUAGCCGGCCUGAGAGGGUGUACGGCCACAUUGGGACUGAGAUACGGCCCAGACUCCUACGGGAGGCAGCAGUGGGGAAUAUUGCACAAUGGGCGCAAGCCUGAUGCAGCAACGCCGCGUGGGGGAUGACGGCCUUCGGGUUGUAAACUCCUUUCGCUAGGGACGAAGCGCAAGUGACGGUACCUGGAGAAGAAGCACCGGCUAACUACGUG